UCUUCUAGCUUGCUAGAAGUGGAUUAGUGGCGCACGCGUGAGUAAUGCAUAGGUUAUGUGCCCUUUAGUCUGGGAUAGCCACUGGAAACGGUGAUUAAUACUGGAUACUCCCUACGGGGGAAAGUUUUUCGCUAAAGGAUCAGCCUAUGUCCUAUCAGCUUGUUGGUGAGGUAAUGGCUCACCAAGGCUAUGACGGGUAUCCGGCCUGAGAGGGUGAUCGGACACACUGGAACUGAGACACGGUCCAGACUCCUACGGGAGGCAGCAGUAGGGAAUAUUGCUCAAUGGGGGAAACCCUGAAGCAGCAACGCCGCGUGGAGGAUGAAGGUUUUAGGAUUGUAAACUCCUUUUGUUAGAGAAGAUUAUGACGGUAUCUAACGAAUAAGCACCGGCUAACUCCGUGCCAGCAGCCGCGGUAAUACGGAGGGUGCAAGCGUUACUCGGAAUCACUGGGCGUAAAGAGUGCGUAGGCGGGGUAAUAAGUCAGAUGUGAAAUCCUGUAGCUUAACUACAGAACUGCAUUUGAAACUGUUACUCUGGAGUGUGGGAGAGGUAGGUGGAAUUCUUGGUGUAGGGGUAAAAUCCGUAGAGAUCAAGAGGAAUACUCAUUGCGAAGGCGACCUGCUGGAACAUUACUGACGCUGAUGCACGAAAGCGUGGGGAGCAAACAGGAUUAGAUACCCUGGUAGUCCACGCCCUAAACGAUGGAUGCUAGUUGUUGCCUUGCUUGUCAGGGCAGUAAUGCAGCUAACGCAUUAAGCAUCCCGCCUGGGGAGUACGGUCGCAAGAUUAAAACUCAAAGGAAUAGACGGGGACCCGCACAAGCGGUGGAGCAUGUGGUUUAAUUCGAAGAUACGCGAAGAACCUUACCUAGGCUU
rnacentral:rRNA from 1 species